CCCCUCUCAGGAUCACACCUGGGGAGUCUCCAGUACUCUACCAGUCUUGGCUACAAGAAGGAGAGUCAGGCAGAGGCAUACUCAUUCCAUUCCUAGUUUGGGCAGUGGCCAGCGAGUGGAAAGCAAUCUGCUACAGGU